GAUGAAGAACGCAGCGAAAUGCGAUACUUGGUGUGAAUUGCAGAAUCCCGUGAACCAUCGAGUCUUUGAACGCAAGUUGCGCCUCAAGCCAUUAGGUUGAGGGCACGUCUGCCUGGGCGUCACAUAUCGUUGCCUGAUGCCAGUUUCCUCGUGAUGGGUGACUGUGCAGGGCGAAUGAUGGCUUCCCGUGAGCAUUGUUGCCUCAUGGUUGGUUGAAAAUCGAGUCCUUGGUAGGGAGCGCCGUGAUAGAUGGUGGUUGAGUGACGAACGAGACCCAAUCAUGUGAGACCCCUACCGAAUUUGGCCUUCAUGACCCACAUGCGUCUUUGGAACGCUCAUGACGAGACCUCAGGUCAGGCGGGGCUACCCGCUGAGUUUAAGCAUAUCAAUAAGCGGAGGA
rnacentral:misc_RNA from 1 species